rnacentral:rRNA from 1 species
AGCGAACGCUGGCGGCAGGCUUAACACAUGCAAGUCGAGCGGGCACUUCGGUGUCAGCGGCCGACGGGUGGGGAACACCUGGGAACGUAGCCCUUGGUUCGGGAUCACGCGGGGGAACUGGCGCUAAUAACGCCUACGGCCUUUUGGGAAAAGGCUUGCUGCCCCAGGGUAGGCGCGCGCGUGUUUUUCUCGUUGGGGGGGUAAUAGCCUAACAAGGCGACGUGCAGGAGGGUGUGUGAGAGGAUGCUCAGCCACACGGGGACUGAGACACCGCCCAGACUCCCACGGGACGGAGGAGUGGGGAAUAUUGGAAAAUGGGCGCAAGCCUGAUCCAGCCACGGCGCGGGAGUGAUGAAGGCCUUAGGGUUGUAAAGCUCUUUUGUCCGGGAAGACAAUGACGGUACCGGAAGAAUAAGCCCCGGCUAACUUCGUG